AUUGAACGCUGGCGGCAGGCCUAACACAUGCAAGUCGAGCGGAUGAAGGGAGCUUGCUCCUGGAUUCAGCGGCGGACGGGUGAGUAAUGCCUAGGAAUCUGCCUGGUAGGGGGGGAUAACGUCCGGAAACGGGCGCUAAUACCGCAUACGUCCUGAGGGAGAAAGUGGGGGAUCUUCGGACCUCACGCUAUCAGAUGAGCCUAGGUCGGAUUAGCUAGUUGGUGGGGUAAAGGCCUACCAAGGCGACGAUCCGUAACUGGUCUGAGAGGAUGAUCGGUCACACUGGAACUGAGACACGGUCCAGACUACUACGGGAGGCAGCAGUGGGGAAUAUUGGACAAUGGGCGAAAGCCUGAUCCAGCCAUGCCGCGUGUGUGAAGAAGGUCUUCGGAUUGUAAAGCACUUUAAGUUGGGAGGAAGGGCAGUAAGUUAAUACCUUGCUGUUUUGACGUUAACAACAGAAUAAGCACCGGCUAACUUCGUG
rnacentral:rRNA from 1 species